rnacentral:rRNA from 1 species
CACGUAGUUAGCCGUGGCUUUCUGAUUAGGUACCGUCAAGAUGUGCACAGUUACUUACACAUUUGUUCUUCCCUAAUAACAGAGUUUUGCGAGCCGAAACCCUUCAUCACUCACGCGGCGUUGCUCCGUCAGGCUUUCGCCCAUUGCGGAAGAUUCCCUACUGCUGCCUCCCGUAGGAGUCUGGACCGUGUCUCAGUUCCAGUGUGGCCGAUCACCCUCUCAGGUCGGCUACGUAUCGUCGCCUUGGUAAGCCGUUACCUUACCAACUAGCUAAUACGGCGCGGGUCCAUCUAUAAGUGAUAGCAAAACCAUCUUUCACUUUAGAACCAUGCGGUUCUAAAUGUUAUCCGGUAUUAGCUCCGGUUUCCCGAAGUUAUCCCAGUCUUAUAGGUAGGUUACCCACGUGUUACUCACCCGUCCGCCGCUAACUUCAAAGGAGCAAGCUCCUUAUCUGUUCGCUCGACUUGCAUGUAUUAGGCACGCCGCCAGCGUUCAUCCUGAGCCAGGAUCAAACUCU